AUUGAACGCUGGCGGCAUGCUUUACACAUGCAAGUCGGACGAGUGGCGAACGGGCGAGUAACAUAUCGGAACGUACCGAGUAAUGGGGGAUAACUAAUCGAAAGAUUAGCUAAUACUGCAUAUUAUUCGAGCGGCCGAUAUCAGUUUAGCUGGUUGGUGGGGUAAAGGCCUACCAAGGCGACGACCAGCAGCGGGUCCGAGAGGAUGAUCCGCCACACUGGGACUGAGGCACGGCCCAGACUCCUGCGGGAGGCAGCAGUGGGGAAUUUUGGACAAUGGGAGCAAGCCUGGUCCGACCAUGCCGCGUGUCUGAAGAAGGCCUUCGGGUUGUAAAGGACUUUUGUCAGGGAAGCGGUACCUGAAGAAUAAGCACCGGCUAACUACGUGCCAGCAGCCGCGGUAAUAC
rnacentral:rRNA from 1 species